rnacentral:tRNA from 1 species
AUUUUUCUAAUAUAAUAAGUAUAAUUGACUUCCAAUCAAUAAGUCUGGGCUUCCCAGGAAAAAUA